rnacentral:rRNA from 1 species
CCUACGGGUGGCAGCAGUGGGGAAUAUUGGACAAUGGGGGGAACCCUGAUCCAGCCAUGCCGCGUGUGUGAAGAAGGCCCUCGGGUUGUAAAGCACUUUCAGUGAGGAAGAACGCCUGGUGGUUAAUACCCAUCAGGAAAGACAUCACUCACAGAAGAAGCACCGGCUAACUCCGUGCCAGCAGCCGCGGUAAUACGGAGGGUGCGAGCGUUAAUCGGAAUUACUGGGCGUAAAGCGCGCGUAGGUGGCUUGAUAAGCCGGUUGUGAAAGCCCCGGGCUCAACCUGGGAACGGCAUCCGGAACUGUCAAGCUAGAGUGCAGGAGAGGAAGGUAGAAUUCCCGGUGUAGCGGUGAAAUGCGUAGAGAUCGGGAGGAAUACCAGUGGCGAAGGCGACCUUCUGGACUGACACUGACACUGAGGUGCGAAAGCGUGGGUAGCAAACAGGAUUAGAUACCCUUGUAGUC